rnacentral:rRNA from 1 species
UACGAAGGACCCAAGCGUUAUCCGGAUUUAUUGGGUUUAAAGGGUGCGUAGGCGGGUUAUUAAGUCAGUGGUGAAAGCCUACAGCUUAACUGUAGAAUUGCCAUUGAUACUGAUGAUCUUGAGUAUGAUUGAGGUGGGCGGAAUGUGUCAUGUAGCGGUGAAAUGCUUAGAUAUGACACAGAACACCGAUUGCGAAGGCAGCUCACUAAGUCAUAACUGACGCUGAUGCACGAAAGCGUGGGGAGCAAAC